AUAAUUACGUGGACGGGGUCAAUGGGUGAUCAAUAAGGUCAAUGUUUUAAGUAAGAGAUUUCCAUUGCAGUUGGAAGGCCUAUUUCCUAAGGUCUCCCAUGGUAGGGGAGCCUAUGUCAUAAUUUGUGGCAGCAGGGGCCUCGCGGUCCGAUUCCAGU